UUCUUCAAACUGUCGCGACUCAGACUUCAUACAUAGAGACUUCGUCGACUACGGAGGGACUUCGCCGACUGUAGAGAGCCGUCGCCGACGCCGCGUAUCGCCAUCUCCAGGCCGCCGUCGGUAAUUGCUCCAGGCCGCCGUCGGUAAUUGCUCCAGGCCACCGUCGCGAGUCUAGACCCUAGAGUCCAGAGUCCGCCGUGGCUCCAGGCCGCCGUCGCGAGUCCAGGCCUCCAGGCCGUUGUCGCGAGUCCAGAUAGCCGUCGAGCUAUGUAUGUUUGGGGUGCUAUUAGGAGAAGGAGCUGAGAAGAAGGCUAGGAUUAGGGGGAAUCAUACUCUAGAAGUGCUGUGAAAGAAGGUUCAGAGCUUUGAUUUCUUUGAGAGCGCGCAAUAGUUGUGAUCGUCUCUAUGUUCUUCAUGGACACAGUCUUGUUUGUCAUAUGAAGAGUUCCAACAAGUUGAUUAUGAAAAAGCGGUUAUUGAUCUGG